rnacentral:rRNA from 1 species
GUGGGGGGAUUAGUGGCGAACGGGUGAGUAACACGUGAGUAACCUGCCCUUGACUCUGGGAUAAGCCUGGGAAACUGGGUCUAAUACCGGAUAUGACUGACUAUCGCAUGGUGGUUGGUGGAAAGCUUUUGCGGUUUUGGAUGGACUCGCGGCCUAUCAGCUUGUUGGUGGGGUAAUGGCCUACCAAGGCGACGACGGGUAGCCGGCCUGAGAGGGUGACCGGCCACACUGGGACUGAGACACGGCCCAGACUCCUACGGGAGGCAGCAGUGGGGAAUAUUGCACAAUGGGCGGAAGCCUGAUGCAGCGACGCCGCGUGAGGGAUGACGGCCUUCGGGUUGUAAACCUCUUUCAGUAGGGAAGAAGCGUAAGUGACGGUACCUGCAGAAGAAGCGCCGGCUAACUACGUGCCAGCAGCCGCGGUAAUACGUAGGGCGCAAGCGUUAUCCGGAAUUAUUGGGCGUAAAGAGCUCGUAGGCGGUUUGUCGCGUCUGCCGUGAAAGUCCGGGGCUCAACUCCGGAUCUGCGGUGGGUACGGGCAGACUAGAGUGAUGUAGGGGAGACUGGAAUUCCUGGUGUAGCGGUGAAAUGCGCAGAUAUCAGGAGGAACACCGAUGGCGAAGGCAGGUCUCUGGGCAUUAACUGACGCUGAGGAGCGAAAGC